GUCUCGGUGUUGAGGGGUGCUCAUAAAUCCCAGACGAGCCCCCAAAUGAAAGACCCUUAGAUUGAGGAGACUCUCGCUCCGAUCCUGAGGACACCCAACACCUCACACACACUCGGGACUCA
rnacentral:pre_miRNA from 14 species